rnacentral:misc_RNA from 1 species
UUAAGUUCAGCGGGUAGUCCUACCUGAUUUGAGGUCAAGAGUUCAAAAAUUGUCCAUCAAAGGACGAUUAGAAGCUGAACAGACAGAGAGCAGUGGUCGUUUAUGGCGUAGAUAAUUAUCACACCGGCAACGUACCGCAAACGGUUCUGCUAAUGCAUUUCAGGGGAGCCGACCUCAGUAAGGCCCGCAAAAACCCCCAA